rnacentral:rRNA from 1 species
UGGAGGAUCCAAGCGUUAUCCGGAAUCAUUGGGUUUAAAGGGUCCGUAGGCGGGUUUAUAAGUCAGUGGUGAAAGCCCAUCGCUCAACGAUGGAACGGCUAUUGAUACUGUAGAUCUUGAAUUAUUAGGAAGUAACUAGAAUAUGUAGUGUAGCGGUGAAAUGCUUAGAGAUUACAUGGAAUACCAAUUGCGAAGGCAGGUUACUACUAAUGGAUUGACGCUGAUGGACGAAAGCGUGGGUAGCGAACAGGAUUAGAUACCCUGGUAGUCCACGCCGUAAACGAUGGAUACUAGCUGUUCGGAGCAAUCUGAGUGGCUAAGCGAAAGUGAUAAGUAUCCCACCUGGGGAGUACGUUCGCAAGAAUG